GACAAACGCUGGCGGCAUGCCUAACACAUGCAAGUCGAACGGACAGAACAGGGAAGCUUUUCGGAGUGGAACUGGAAAGUUAGUGGCGGAUGGGUGAGUAACGCGUGGACAACCUACCUUGUAAAGGGGAAUAACCUCGAGAAAUCGAAGCUAAUACCCCAUAAUAACCUUGCUUCGCAUGAAGUAAGGAGGAAAGGCGGCCUUAGCGCUGUCGAUACAAGAUGGGUCCGCGUCUGAUUAGCUAGUUGGUGAGGUAAAGGCGCACCAAGGCGACGAUCAGUAGACGGCCUGAGAGGGUGAACGGCCGCAUUGGGACUGAGACACGGCCCAAACUCCUACGGGAGGCAGCAGUGGGGAAUCUUCCGCAAUGGGCGAAAGCCUGACGGAGCAAUGCCGCGUGAGUGAAGACGGCCUUCGGGUUGUAAAACUCUGUCCUUAUCGAAGAGAGAGUGUUGUAGUAACUGACAAUACUAGGACGGUAGAUGAGGAGGAAGCCCCGGCUAACUAUGUG
rnacentral:rRNA from 1 species